AACCAACGAGAUAUGUGCAUGUAUAUAUAUUUUUUUGCCGUAGUAAAGAUAACCGGAGAGGUGCCGGUUGAGUGUGAAUCCGUCGCGAGAGUGGAACAGAGUGCUUUGUUUACAUACCGCCGGCAUUUCAUAAACACGUGGGGUGCACAGAGACCGAUGCUAACAUAUUAGCCAACUACACUUUCGAUAGCAUUAAACUAAUUUAAUAAGGUGUUGUGACCUCCGUGGUGAUGUUCGGGGGCUACGCGGACAGGGCGGAGCUAGAGGAUGAGCUGUACGCGGAGGAGUCCGAGGGGUCAGAGGGUGACGACAGUGAACUAGAGUUCAGACUCUACAGCCAACUCCACUACUCCUCUAACCCCGGAGAGGUGGAGGAGGAAGUGGGAGACAGGCACCUCUCCUCCAGCCACGGAGAGAAGGAGGAGGUGGAGGAGGAGGUGGGAGACAGGCGCCUCUCCUCCAGCAACGGAGAGAAGGAGGAGGAGGAAGAUGGGAGCAAGGCCAAACGACAGCGGCCACCCCUGUCACAUGAUCAUGGUCACAGAGAUCUACGGCAAAACCUGCUGGGGGACGCAGAGCAGAAACAACAGAAAGUCAAACUAAAAACCCAACAGGCGAGGAAACAGCAGAGAGGUCUCUCCAAAGGUGACCCCAGACGUCAACGGUUGUUCCAGGAGGUCAUAGUCAUCGACUCGAGUCAAGAUGACGUCAUCACAGUGUCAGACAACACGGAGGAAGAUGACGGGGUGUGUAGCUUGAAAGGUCAGAGGUUAAAGAAAGGACCCCUGCAGGCCUCGACGCCGGGACAACAGAGAAACCCCGCCCCAAAGAAGGGGAGCUCCAGUGUGGGCUCUGACUCGGUGGUGGUGUUGGACUCAGAAUCCGGAGCGAAGUCUGGAUCGGACUCUGACAGUCUGGAGAGCUGGAUGAUUCUAGGCAGUGGGAAACAAGAUGGAGACCAGGGCAUCAUACUGAACCUGGAGGGAGAAGGAGACAUUAAAGACGGUGACGAGGGAACCUGGUUGAUAGCGGACAGAGACAGAGAGGCUCAGAUCGUGAACCGGUUUGGGGGCGGUCCUCGGGGGAAGCGGGUGGCGAACCGUUACUAUACCAACAAGAACGUCACCUGUCACAGCUGUAAGAGGACUGGACACCUCUCCAAGAGCUGCCCUACACCCCCGGAGCCGUGUUGCAUGUUGUGCGGGGAGCGUGGUCACACGGUGCUGUCGUGUCCCAGCAAACAUUGCAGAAACUGCGGUCUGCCCGGUCACUUGGACAAGGUGUGUGUCGUACCCAACCUCCGAUACAAAUGGUGUUAUCGCUGUGGCGUACAGGGACACCUUAACGACGCCUGCCCAGAAUAUGGAGACAGUACCACAUCACGACUAAGUCAGGUCCUGUACUGGUGGUAGAAGGAGAGGACAGCGCCAAGACCAACCCCUGCUGUUAUAACUGUUCUCUCAGGGGACAUUUUGGAUUUGACUGCUCAGUGAGGAGGAUGUUUGGGUGUUUCCCCCCCAGCUCUCCCUUCAUCAACCAAUAUGACUCUCGCCUCUCGAUCCGCAACCGAGAUUACCGAGCUCAGCUCAGAGUUCAAG